GACGAACGCUGGCGGCGUGCUUAACACAUGCAAGUCGAACGGAAAGGCCCUGCUUUUGUGGGGUGCUCGAGUGGCGAACGGGUGAGUAACACGUGAGUAACCUGCCCUUGACUUUGGGAUAACUUCAGGAAACUGGGGCUAAUACCGGAUAGGAGCUCCUGCUGCAUGGUGGGGGUUGGAAAGUUUCGGCGGUUGGGGAUGGACUCGCGGCUUAUCAGCUUGUUGGUGGGGUAGUGGCUUACCAAGGCUUUGACGGGUAGCCGGCCUGAGAGGGUGACCGGCCACAUUGGGACUGAGAUACGGACCAGACUCCUACGGGAGGCAGCAGUGGGGAAUAUUGCACAAUGGGCGGACGCGUGAUGCAGCAACGCCGCGUGCGGGAUGACGGCCUUCGGGUUGUAAACCGCUUUCGCCUGUGACGAAGCGUGAGUGACGGUAAUGGGUAAAGAAGCACCGGCUAACUACGUG
rnacentral:rRNA from 1 species